UUCCCUUAAUAAAGCACACAAAUCCCCAAACAUCAGCCGACGUCAAGAAGAAGGGUACAACAGAACUGCCUUUAAUUACCACACACAGGCUUUUAUGCAAGUCCCCAUGCAAGGGGACAUCCCACAGGGAGGGACACAGUUUAACCAAUCCGUUACAGUAAAAUCAUAAAAUACACCCAGUACACACAUACAAUUUCCUCCCCUAGUCCUGGAGAUAAUCAGGUCUGAUAAAGUAAUAACUUGAUUAUCUCCAGGCAGAAAAAUCACAAUUUUCCCCAAUAUUUGAAACACCCCUUUAUACAUGAGGUAUUCCCACAAAUAUGUCCCCUGAUAGCCCCGAUCUGAGUGACCAACAUAUUGAAAUUUCACCCAGAUCGGUUCAGGGGUUCUCAAAAAAGGUGGAAGUCUUCUGUGACCGGCUAACCGUGGGCUGGCUGCCCAAAAGAGUUCCAGGAGUUUGGGUGGUUUUGCCGGUCACUUCAGUAAAGGGGUAAAAAAAAACGAAUAAAAUUCCGAAUGGAUUCCCCUGGCUCUCAGCAACGAUUGUUCCCCUCAAUUGAAUGCACAAAAUUCGACUGAAAAAAGAUGGCUGCAGUUUUCUCAGCCUCGUGGCAUUCGGUAGUACGAACGCUGGCCACACAGAUAGAGGGGUCAAUUGACAAAUGCUUUGAAGCUUAAUGAGCCGGGGGGUGGUCUUUGUUCGGUAGUAAGAUCUACUGAAUGAAUAAGGGAGAACUAGGGUGCAUAGAGAGGGAUUUCUUCACAGAGAGUAUGCAAGACACUCUUAUAACUAUGAUGGAGUCGCUAUGGACUACUGAUAUUUAGUUAAUGGUUAAGUUAACAGUUUACUUAUGAUAUGUUCCAUGACAAGACCCAAAUAUGACAGAGACCACUUAUCUGAGGUAACCUAAAUACCAAAGGCCCUGAGAUUUCUGAGUUAGGGCUAGAUGUAGACUCUGCCCACUAAGCUGACUCAGGACGCACACACAGCCUAUCACUUAAUCUGCAAGGCAAUGGGAAUCAGUGCGUUUCUAAAGUAACAAUCAUGGAGGGAACUACUUUACUGCCUGUUUGUAGAUAAUUCUGCACCACACAUAAUGCUCCUGUAUACUGUCAAUAGGGAGGAAUUCUCUAUGUCAAGGGAUGUCAUGACCACGGCCCACAUGAGAGGCGCUCGAAUCUGUCAGCGCAACCAGGCUCAACACCUGUGAGCCGGAUAGGGUUCAAUACCCCUCUGUUCUACCCCUAUAUCCAAGUGUCAUCUGCCCUACACCUACCUAAGCCCUGACCCCACUCCUUACCCCCGGGAGAGUCACAACCGCUGUGAGAGACGCACCCCAAGCUAUGUGUUUACAACCUGCUCCACUACGCUACCAAAUACCAGACGCUUAUAUCAUAAGCAGACCACAUUAAACAUACCCAGUAAUGAGAAUAGUGUCCUAUAAUGUUAAGGGGCUAAACUCCCCACGUUGGAGGAGGCUCCUCCUCCAGGAUCUUAAACUCGUGAUGGACAUUGCAUAUAUCCAAGAAAUGCAUUUCAAAACACCCAGGAUACCAGCCAUUUUUAACAAGGUAUUCCCGAUUCAGUACCACACCCUCUCAGAAUCCAAGAUGAAAGGGGUAUCCAUAUUUAAACAUAGAAACGUAGCCUUUACA
rnacentral:lncRNA from 1 species